rnacentral:rRNA from 1 species
ACAGCAGCCGCCGCGGUAAUACGGAGGGUGCAAGCGUUAAUCGGAAUUACUGGGCGUAAAGCGCACGCAGGCGGUCUGACAAGUCAGAUGUGAAAUCCCCGGGCUUAACCUGGGAACUGCAUUUGAAACUGUCAGGCUGGAGUCUUGUAGAGGGGGGUAGAAUUCCAGGUGUAGCGGUGAAAUGCGUAGAGAUCUGGAGGAAUACCGGUGGCGAAGGCGGCCCCCUGGACAAAGACUGACGCUCAGGUGCGAAAGCGUGGGGAGCAAACAGGAUUAGAGACCCCAGUAGUCCCUGUCUCUUAUAC